UUUCACCGGCUGAGCCAAGAACUGAUCUCUCAGGAAUCAGGAGUCAGGAGGAGGAAAUGCUAUAUUUAACAUAUAUAUUAACUCAAAAUAACCUCAGCGGUUCGAGCAUUUAUAACGGCACCGAUAUGGCUUAUUUGGAUCCCAGUCCGUGUGGAGGCCUGUCUGAGCCAGAUGGAGGAUGAUGAUGAUGAUGCUGGUCCCAGUUCUGAUCUGCUGUUAAACACCAGUCUGCCAUGGCAGAGCUGCUGGUUGAGAAAAUGAGCUUUAAAGAAAAGCUCCAAGAAGACGACCGCCACCAUCUGCAGCAAAUUGUGUGGAAAUGUUCACGCUGAAACAGAGAUGACCAAGAAGCUGCAGCAGCUGGAACAGAUGCUGUUGAGCCGUUUUUAUCCGAUGGAUGCUUUGCAGGUGAGCAUGUGUUGUUUCACAGGGACUUUAAUGUGCAUCCACUGAUAGACCUGGAGCAGGCUUCAUUGGCUUUUGGGUUUGCAUAGAGAUGCUAAACUGAGCCUUCCUCGCGCUUUCUGACUGCUAAGUUCUAUAGCAGCACGGAUUGAAUUGAGGAAUACAUGUGAGCAUGCUGGGCAGUAUGAAGCAGGCAGCUUAUCGCUUUUUGCAACUUACUUUGUCCUAUUAACCUCUAGCAGGAUCAGUUUCUUCAACAUUCCUGUUGCAUCACUCAUU